UGACUCCUCCAUGUCUUGGAGUAGGUCAUUGGGUGGAUCCUCUAUUUCCCUACAUGGGCCACUGGAUGGCUCCUCCAUGUCUUGGAGUAGAUCA
rnacentral:pre_miRNA from 1 species